ensembl:lncRNA CEROX1 cytoplasmic endogenous regulator of oxidative phosphorylation 1
GCCUGCCCCGCCCGGCGCCGCACCACGUGGGCCAGGCGCCCCACGCCUGGAGCUCCCCUCUCUGGAGCCCCGGGAAAGGAAGCGGGGCAGGGAGGCCGGGUGGGAGCAGGGGGGUCUCCGGCGCUUCCUCUCCUCUGCGGGCGCCGCGCGGCUCCUGAGAGUCCGCCCCCCGUCCUGACGCUCAGCUAGGAAGCGGGUCCUCGGGCCCCUCCCCCGACACACACACACACACACACACACACACACACACACACACACACUCUCUCUCUCUCUCUCUCUCUCUCUCUCUCUCUCUCUCUCUCUCACACACACACACACACACACAGCCCGUCUCGCGCCUGAGGUCUCGCCCGCAGGCCGGUGGCGCGGGGUCAGCUGCUGCCUGCGGUCCAGGACAGGGUCGGUUCCGCCGCGCAGCGCCCAGGCCCAGCUCGUCCAGAGUCUGCGGACAGCGCACGUCCAGAAGGAGCUGGUCCGUUACUAGAAAAGUCCAGAUGCAAAGUCGGGGGUCGUGCUGCCGCUUCCUGCCAGCGCACCGCACCCACCUGGGGCCGCCACCGACCGCACAGGACGCGCCUCCUACCCCCUGUUCUGGCCCGGCCGAGAGCUGGUGCCCCCAGCGGCCGCCCGCCCCCGUCCGCAGACCCCGGGGCCCUUGCUGCUUUGCAUUGGGAACAACCGGAGCCAGGCCCGGAGCUGAGGGGGCCAGGGCCUUUGGAGGAAGCAUUGGCCUCCAGGCUGAAGAGCAAGGGCCGUGUCACCUGCCCGGAGGGCGGUCUCAUCUCUGCAGCCAGGUCAGAGGAAGCAGCGGUGGGGAGACGGAGUGCGCGAGUUGGGAGGCUCCACGCAUCGUAGGUGGAGAGCUGGCUGCCAGCCUGGCCUGCCCUCUCUUCCCCGUCCCACCAUCUCGCUUGGCUCCGGCACCUGCCUGGGAAGACCCACACCUCCGUCUGCAGUGCCUCUUCCCCCUGGAGGCCCUGCCCUCCGCUCGGGGUCCCCGCAUCCUUCCGUGGCCCUCAGAGCAUCGCCUGGGGCGCCCGCGGAACUCAUCUGUUAGGCCUGGGAUGCAGGCAGGCAGAAGUGGGGGUUUAAGUGGAAGCAGUGAGGGUGGGGGUCCGGUCCAAACUGUGCCACCUUCCACCCCCUGCCCCUGGGAGAGCAGACAUCGCCCACUCGGGCUCACAGUGCCAUCCGGGUGAGGACCUCCGUGGAGAGCUCUCUUUGCCAAAGAAAAGCAGUUGCAUUAGGUCUGCGAGCAGGCAGGGUGGCCUCUUCCUGGCUCCCCAUCCACCAAGGAAGCUUCAAGUCCCUGGGACACAGGCACUUUCCCACACAGGAUGGAGCCGGGCCACCCUCACAGCUCCUGCCCUGCAGACGCUGGCCUUGUGGAGGGAGGCAGGCAGCAGGAGCAGUGCUUUCUGGGCCUCUGUAGCCAGAGCUGGCCCUGCUGCAGCUUACGUCUGCCUGCAGCCCAGACGUCCUCCUGGUCCUCCUGAUGCCCCCGACCUCCACGGAGGACGAGCAUUUCCAGCCCAGCCCUCCCCAUCUUCACCUCGCACUCCCCUGACACACUGGGAGCCUCCUGAUCCGUGAACCCGCGCUGGCGGGAGUAGCUACUGACCGCUGGGGACCCCUGCCCAGGCUGUUCGCAUGUGGAAAGGAUUCAGGGAGCAGGCGAUGCCCAAAGCGUGGAGACCAGCACUGCUCUCUCCCCAGUGACAGGUGCACGCCCAGAUCACGGAUGUGUCGGGAACAGCUGUGCUCCUGCUGCUCAGCGUCCGUCACUCCAGGCUGGGAGCGGGUCCCCAAGCUUCUGGCUGGGCCUAUCCGUCUCCACUCUCAGUGUGGGGGUGGGGGGCGCCAACAGCACGCAUUUGCUCUCUGCACUUCUCGUCUGAUAAUGGGCAGAGGGUCCUUCUGCAGCCCCAAAACAUCCCUAGGCAGGAGCCCUGGGGCCCCAAGCAGCCAGGGAGGUGAGCACCAAGGACCUCCCAGAGAGCGUCACCUUCCGUCGAGGGAGGCCCAGCCUGGGGGCGGUGUCUGAGACUUGGAAUCAACGCUUCCGUUGGUGGCAGUAAAUCCUGUCCCUAACCCUGCAGUACAGCUGUGCCGUGUACAGGAGGGUGCUGUCUGACGCCAGACACCUGGACUACAGAUCGCAGCCUGAUUCCUGGUCAUUGCUCCACUGAACCCCAGACCCCAGCCUCGUUCUGGGCCCUCAUCCCCUAGAUCCAGGGACCCCAGCCCCAUUUCAGCCCUUGGGCCCUUGUAGGAUGCGAGGCCCUGGGCCCCAGCCCCCAGCCCAUCCGUGGCCCAGGCACUGGGGGGCUGAGGUCCUCUGAGAAGGGACACAGGGCCUGGGGGGCUCUCUCAGCCCAUCAGCAGGAGAGGACUGACUCCAGAAAAAUCAGCGUUUGUACCCACUCAGGCUGCCAAGACCUGUGUCCGUCCUUCCAAGCUCAACCUUCAGAGUUCAUGAGGCCCCUUGCCCAGAAUGUCCACAGAGUUCAUGAGGCCCCUUGCCCGGAAUGUCCACAUUUGAAACCUCCCAACACCGAGCCCCAUUUCAAGUAUAACCAGGAGGGAAAAUGGUGCUUGAAAUAAGCAUGCCACAAAGGAAAACCUGCUUUCUCGAAAUGGGCCCUGGCCGCCCAGGCCCUGACCUCCCCGGCCAGGAUGGAACGUUCCAGAGACCCAUUAGUGCCAAAGGCAAAUGAAAACACACCCUGUGAAAAUGUC